rnacentral:rRNA from 1 species
UACGGAGGAUCCAAGCGUUAUCCGGAAUCAUUGGGUUUAAAGGGUCCGUAGGCGGUCUUAUAAGUCAGUGGUGAAAUCUCCCCGCUCAACGGGGAAACGGCCAUUGAUACUGUAGGACUUGAAUUAUUAGGAAGUAACUAGAAUAUGUAGUGUAGCGGUGAAAUGCUUAGAGAUUACAUGGAAUACCAAUUGCGAAGGCAGGUUACUACUAACUGGAUUGACGCUGAUGGACGAAAGCGUGGGUAGCGAACAGG